GGUUCAAUAGUGUAGCAGUUAGCAUGUCUGCUUUACAUGCAGAAGGUCCUGGGUUCACACCCUAGUGGAGCCA
rnacentral:tRNA from 1 species